GACGAACGCUGGCGGCGUGCCUAAUACAUGCAAGUUGAGCGCUGAAGGUUGGUACUUGUACCAACUGGAUGAGCAGCGAACGGGUGAGUAACGCGUGGGGAAUCUGCCUUUGAGCGGGGGACAACAUUUGGAAGCGAAUGCUAAUACCGCAUAAAAACUUUAAACACAAGUUUUAAGUUUGAAAGAUGCAAUUGCAUCACUCAAAGAUGAUCCCGCGUUGUAUUAGCUAGUUGGUGAGGUAAAGGCUCACCAAGGCGAUGAUACAUAGCCGACCUGAGAGGGUGAUCGGCCACAUUGGGACUGAGACACGGCCCAAACUCCUACGGGAGGCAGCAGUAGGGAAUCUUCGGCAAUGGACGAAAGUCUGACCGAGCAACGCCGCGGGAGUGAAGAAGGGUGUCGGAUCGUAAAACUCUGUUGGUAGAGAAGAACGUUGGUGAGAGUGGAAAGCUCAUCAAGUGACGGUAACUACCCAGAAAGGGACGGCUAACUACGUG
rnacentral:rRNA from 1 species